CAUGGCUCAGGACGAACGCUGGCGGCGUGCCUAAUACAUGCAAGUCGAGCGAAGUUUUUCUGGUGCUUGCACUAGAAAAACUUAGCGGCGAACGGGUGAGUAACACGUAAAGAACCUGCCUCAUAGACUGGGACAACUAUUGGAAACGAUAGCUAAUACCGGAUAACAGUAUUUCUCGCAUGAGAGAUAUUUAAAAGUUGGUUAUGCUAACACUAUGAGAUGGCUUUGCGGUGCAUUAGCUAGUUGGUGGGGUAAAGGCCCACCAAGGCGACGAUGCAUAGCCGACCUGAGAGGGUGAUCGGCCACACUGGGACUGAGACACGGCCCAGACUCCUACGG
rnacentral:rRNA from 1 species